GCGCCCGUAGCUCAGUUGGUAGAGCGCCGAGCGGUGGAACGGCAAUCCACAGUCCCGGGUUCAAGUCCCGGCGGUCGCU